UACGAAGGGGGCUAGCGUUGCUCGGAAUCACUGGGCGUAAAGCGCACGUAGGCGGCUUUUUAAGUCAGAGGUGAAAUCCUGGAGCUCAACUCCAGAACUGCCUUUGAUACUGGAGAGCUUGAGUCCGGGAGAGGUGAGUGGAACUGCGAGUGUAGAGGUGAAAUUCGUAGAUAUUCGCAAGAACACCAGUGGCGAAGGCGGCUCACUGGCCCGGUACUGACGCUGAGGUGCGAAAGCGUGGGGGAGCAAA
rnacentral:rRNA from 1 species